UUUCACUUCUUUAUUUAUUAUCACAGAAGUGAGGUGUUACUUCACACACAUACACACACACAGAAUGAAAUAAAGAAAUGAAACUCGCUAAGCAGACAAAAACAGGCAACUUUCUGCUUAGAAAACAGCCUUCCCCGGUGGGAGAGGCAGCACUGCCAUGUCUAACAGCAAGACUGGCCCCCGAAAUUUGUUUUGGCCAGAAAUGGUGAGAAGAAAAAGCAUGAAGAAGCCGCGAAGUGUGGGGGAGAAAAAGGUGGAAGCGAAGAAACAGCUCCCGGAGUAAACUGCACAAAACCUCGCCAAGAGUGUCGGGAGGCAGGACCGUUAUUCCUGCGGAGCAGGUUAGAACUGAUCUCUUUCGGCCACUCCAGGAAACACAAACCUGGGGACGGACUGACGUGUUACGCCUCUUCUAAUGACAUUUUUUUCUUUUUCUUUUCUGUAGGAGAGAGAGGAGAGACCCUGAAACACGCGCCACCUAUCUUUGUGGGGAGGGAUAAUUGAAGCGCCCUGAGCGUGAGCAUCAUGUGAAAACGUGAUCGCCAAGUUUCUCUCUGGGAAAGGAUCUGGGAUAGAUUAUACCUUGAAGUCUCCGCAAACGCUUUAGUGGAAGAAAUGAAAUUCCACCUCCCUCCCUUCCUCUCUCCCUCCCUCUCGCCUCCCACCCUCAGACGCUCAGGUCUCCACGACACCCCGGAGGGAAAGUGUAGCAGAUUAUAUUUUGUAUAGAAAGAAACAAAAUCCACGGAGUAGUGCAUGUAGCGUA
rnacentral:lncRNA from 1 species